UCAGACAAUGGGACAAAGAAAUGCAUCAUAAGCCAUGGGCUCCCCGGUGGAAUUACUGAAGACACUACAAUAACUCUCAUCGUAACUGGUAGGCCUCCGUUCACUCAUUCCCACUCUCAACAAGAACAUUGGUAACAAAAAUAGAUCAUACCAAUUACAUUAAACCACUCCAAUACGUUUGUUAUCAAAUGAAUAAAUGUGGGCAGAUCAACCCUUAAAUGGUAGGUAUUUUAUAUUUUAUGUAAAGCAUGUAACUCUCUCCAGUGUUUCUAUGAACCAUGAAGGUUAUUUUCAGUCCUGGAUUCAUUUCAGAUUUGACCUCUGGAACUAGGCAGAGGGCGAACACAUGUCAGGCUGACAAUUUCAAUUAGUUUCAAAUAAAGUUUUCUACAGGCAUUAAGGCUGUAUCCAACAAAUGUGUUUUAUUUUAAACAUUUAAAAAAUAUUAAACAUUAUACACAGAACUGCUGUAAAAUCAUUUUCAUGAAAGUCAAACAUGAAGAAAUAGGGGAUAAGGCUAUCCUUUACGUGCAGGUUGAGUACCUCACACAUUGCAUUGAUAGAACAAUGGGACAUUUCUAACUGAUUCUAUUUCAUUUUUCUGACUGCCGGAGGUAGUGCUUUAGCCCCUGAAUGACUCACUGUGCGUCAACACACCAAAAGUGAAGUGAAGAUUUGCCCGCGUGUUUGGGCGAGUUAUCUCCAGGUAUCUUCUGUAAUGACCUUCUCUUGUUUCCUCUCUUCUCUAGCAACCCCCGAUGCAGUCACAAUAGAGCGCCACAACCCUGAGAGCGCUGGUGACGUUUCCAAUGCCUCGCUUACAUGUACUGCCAUCGCCGUCUAUCCAGUCAGCAACAUAUCAUGGAAUGUAACUGGUGUCUGGUGCAUUCCCAAACAACAAAUAGUAUUUGUAACGAUAUAGGCUGCUAUUUCACUAACUUACGUUCAUUCUGGUGCCAAUGUGUUUUUUUCAAGAUCUACUCGACCUUCUCCGUUUAAUCGUACCAGUCCUGGUGUGUGUGGGGGGAUUUGCUUGGUGGAAGAAAUGCAAAGGAAAUCCACUUUCUAACGAGCAACGACCCCAAUCAGCCCCACAAGCCGAUCCAGUAUCAGCAAGCGAAGAAGUCGCAGAACGUGAGAUUUUCGUGCCUCAGCCGCCCGUUGCUGAGGAUUUGGAGUUGGAAACGUUGAAUAAUACAAAUUAAAAUGAAA